rnacentral:sRNA from 12 species
ACCCUGCUGACGGAUUGAACGGCAACCGGCAGCGAGAGCCGGGCAGGGU